rnacentral:rRNA from 1 species
CCUACGGGAGGCAGCAGUGGGGAAUCUUGCACAAUGGGCGAAAGCCUGAUGCAGCAACGCCGCGUGCGGGAAGAAGGCCCUAGGGUUGUAAACCGCUUUCAGUAGGGAAGAAAAUGACGGUACCUACAGAAGAAGGUGCGGCCAACUACGUGCCAGCAGCCGCGGUGACACGUAGGCACCAAGCGUUAUCCGGAUUUAUUGGGCGUAAAGAGCUCGUAGGCGGUUCGGUAAGUCGGGUGUGAAAACUCUGGGCUCAACCCAGAGAGGCCACCCGAUACUGCUGUGACUAGAGUGCGGUAGGGGAGCGGGGAAUUCCUGGUGUAGCGGUGAAAUGCGCAGAUAUCAGGAGGAACACCAGCGGCGAAGGCGCCGCUCUGGGCCGUAACUGACGCUGAGGAGCGAAAGCAUGGGUAGCAAACAGGAUUAGAUACCCUGGUAGUCCAUGCCGUAAACGUUGGGCACUAGGUGUGGGUCUCAACCAACGAGAUCCGCGCCGUCGCUAACGCAUUAAGUGCCCCGCCUGGGGAGUACGGUCGCAAGACUAAAACUCAAAUGAAUUGACGGCUGAGACGNGCGACGACGACACGAGGAGAGG